rnacentral:rRNA from 1 species
UUGCCGGGCACUACAGUAAGGCGUGAAACACCCGAUCCCAUUCCGACUUCCCAACAAACUCUUUAUUUAAAAGAGGUUCAAAGCGACGCCAUAUGUACUGGGAAUUAUCGGGAGACGUGGUUUUCCCCCCACCCACAGAAAACGGGUCCCCGUAA